CAGCAUCUCAAGUGGUCAGGAUGAUUAUUGGGCCUAAAGCAUCCGUAGCCGGCGCUGUAAGUUUUCGGUUAAAUCUGUACGCUCAACGUACAGGCUGCCGGGAAUACUGUAGCGCUAGGGAGUGGGAGAGGUAGACGGUACUCGGUAGGAAGGGGUAAAAUCCUUUGAUCUAUUGAUGACCACCUGUGGCGAAGGCGGUCUACCAGAACACGUCCGACGGUGAGGGAUGAAAGCUGGGGGAGCAAACCGGAUUAGAUACCCGAGUAGUCC
rnacentral:rRNA from 1 species